ACUCCUACGGGAGGCAGCAGUGGGGAAUAUUGCACAAUGGGGGAAACCCUGAUGCAGCCAUGCCGCGUGUGUGAAGAAGGCCUUGGGUUGUAAAGCACUUUCAGUAGGGAGGAAGGUAGUGUAGUUAACACCUGCAUUAUUUGACGUUACCUACAGAAGAAGCACCGGCUAACUCCGUGCCAGCAGCCGCGGUAAUACGGAGGGUGCGAGCGUUAAUCGGAAUUACUGGGCGUAAAGCGCAUGCAGGCGGCCUGUUAAGUCAGAUGUGAAAGCCCGGGGCUUAACCUCGGAAUUGCAUUUGAAACUGGCAGGCUAGAGUCUUGUAGAGGGGGUAGAAUUUCAGGUGUAGCGGUGAAAUGCGUAGAGAUCUGAAGGAAUACCAGUGGCGAAGGCGGCCCCCUGGACAAAGACUGACGCUCAGAUGCGAAAGCGUGGGAGCAAACAGGAUUAGAUACCCCUGGUAGCGACUGA
rnacentral:rRNA from 1 species